rnacentral:rRNA from 1 species
UACGUAGGCAGCAAGCGUUGUUCGGAGUUACUGGGCGUAAAGGGUGUGUAGGCGGUUGUUUAAGUUUGGUGUGAAAUCUCCCGGCUCAACCGGGAGGGUGCGCCGAAUACUGGGUGGCUAGAGUGCGGGAGAGGAGAGUGGAAUUCCUGGUGUAGCGGUGGAAUGCGCAGAUAUCAGGAAGAACACCCGUGGCGAAGGCGGCUCUCUGGAACGCAACUGACGCUGAGACGCGAAAGCGUGGGGAGCAAACAGG